AUUGAACGCUGGCGGCAGGCCUAACACAUGCAAGUCGAGCGGGGUUUUCGGACCUAGCGGCGGACGGGUGAGUAAUGCGUAGGAAGCUACCCGGUAGAGGGGGAUACCAGUUGGAAACGACUGUUAAUACCGCAUAAUGUCUACGGACCAAAGUGUGGGACCUUCGGGCCACAUGCUAUCGGAUGCGCCUACGUGGGAUUAGCUAGUUGGUGAGGUAAUGGCUCACCAAGGCGACGAUCCCUAGCUGGUUUGAGAGGAUGAUCAGCCACACUGGAACUGAGACACGGUCCAGACUCCUACGGGAGGCAGCAGUGGGGAAUAUUGGACAAUGGGCGCAAGCCUGAUCCAGCCAUGCCGCGUGUGUGAAGAAGGCCUUCGGGUUGUAAAGCACUUUCAGUAGGGAGGAAGGGUGUUGUGUUAAUAGCGCAGCAUUUUGACGUUACCUACAGAAGAAGCACCGGCUAACUCUGUGCCAGCCGCCGCCGUAAAAC
rnacentral:rRNA from 1 species